GCCUCCAUGCUUCCAACGACUCUCUGUCGUUGCACGUUUAUUGGGGAUAUACCUGACUCCGCUUCCUCUCCUUAAAUCUCAUGACUGCAGCAGUUGAAUCUGAAUCGGAGCAGCUGUUCAGCCUAACCGGAAAGGAGAUGUCAAAACCUGUUGCAUGGACUUAUUAGAUCCGAGAAAGUCUCUUCUUUAGCGCCCUAAAAUCCUAGAUCUACCCCAUCACAGAGGGCACGUAGAGGGGCUGGUAAGACCCUGCCCCGAUUUGAAAACGAAAACAUGUCCGACGAUGUCUGCGAAUAACCGAAUUAAGACAAGCAACAAUAGCUUGUUGUUCCGUGAUUGGGGGCGAAAGGAGUAAUUCAAAGCUUUUGCUGCGCGCAGCGCUCUGUUCCUCAAGGGGACCCGCCAAGGAUUUCAGAUAUGUAGCGGCAACCAUCCCGGCCGCUCCCCUCAGCACCGAUAUUUAUUGGGGAUUCCCCCCCGGACCAAAUCCAGCGAGUCAGGCUGCAUUUUAGAGAGGUGACACCCACCCCAAAGGCUGCCCCAGCCCUGCCCCGCGCCGGCCCGAGCCGGCUCUGCGGACUGCAGCUGCGGCACCGCCUCAAAGUACCGACGGCAGAAGGGGACUCUCUCGGCAGAGACAGCCUACAGCUUACAGACAAGACAACAACAACAACAAAAGGCACAUAUGGUUAAAAUAAGGAGGGAGAGCUUUCUGCCUUGGGGGAUUGGCAAUAACCAGCCAGAAAUGCCGGGCACUGAAUCCGAAGUUCUGGUGGGCUUCUGCGGGAUUGACAACUUAAAUCACACUACAAGCAUCAAUUUGACAAUAUUUGUAAACUUCUUGUUUCCAGGGAUCUUCUUGAUCAGAGAUAGACCAGAUCCCGCCACCGCCCCGAGGACUGCCAAAAGUGGCUCACGUAGCUCCUCAUCGUGACAAGAAAUCCUUUGUCUUCUUCAUAAUUGCAACCUCCUAUCCUGUCUUACCUACAAGCGAGCAGAGCUGACGCCCUCUUUCUGCAGUAUUAUUUGCACAAGAGGGUUUUUGAGGAGCCUACAGUCUUCCGCAUCCAUCGCGUGGCAAGAGACAUGUCCUUAAAACAACCAAAUUUCCCUUUUUACAGCAGACCCCAGACAAAGGUAUCCUCAUCAAGAGUCAGGGAGCAAACAGUACGUAUGGACAUACAGAAAAAGAAUUUUUUUUUUUCACUAUAGAAAGACCUUGCGUAACUUCUUACAGACUGCGAAGUAUGCCCGUAAACACAGCCAUCGUUUAAAUUCGGCAGGACUGAGGCAAGUUUAAAUGUAAUAUACCACAAGCACAUAAUACACCCAGGGAUAUUAGCUUCUAAGAAU
rnacentral:lncRNA from 1 species